rnacentral:tRNA from 1 species
GCCUGGGUGGCUCAGUGGUUGAGCAUCUGCUUUCAGCUCAGGGUGUGAUCUUGGAGUCCCAGGAUCAAGUCCUACCUCAGGUU